GACGAACGCUGGCGGCGUGCCUAAUACAUGCAAGUCGAACGCUGAAGGAGGAGCUUGCUUCUCUGGAUGAGUUGCGAACGGGUGAGUAACGCGUAGGUAACCUGCCUGGUAGCGGGGGAUAACUAUUGGAAACGAUAGCUAAUACCGCAUAAGAGUAGAUGUUGCAUGACAUUUGCUUAAAAGGUGCAAUUGCAUCACUACCAGAUGGACCUGCGUUGUAUUAGCUAGUUGGUGGGGUAACGGCUUACCAAGGCGACGAUACAUAGCCGACCUGAGAGGGUGAUCGGCCACACUGGGACUGAGACACGGCCCAGACUCCUACGGGAGGCAGCAGUAGGGAAUCUUCGGCAAUGGACGGAAGGCUGACCGAGCAACGCCGCGGGAGGGAAGAAGGGUGUCGGAUCGUAAAGCUCUGUUGUAAGAGAAGAACGAGUGUGAGAGUGGAAAGUUCACACUGUGACGGUAUCUUACCAGAAAGGGACGGCUAACUACGUG
rnacentral:rRNA from 1 species